rnacentral:tRNA from 1 species
GGUCCCGUAGUUCAACGGAUAGAAUAGUAGUUUCCUAAACUAUAGAUAUGGGUUCGAUUCCCGUCGGGACUA